UUAAGAGUCCGGCUAUGGUGGAACUGAAAUUCUAGUUAUGCAACCCAAGAGGGGGGUGAAUUGAGAUUCUAAAAAUUAUUCAAUUCUAUAUCAAAACUCAAUGCAAAUCCAAAACUAAUUUAAAGCAAUAACCAAUAAAUCAAUCACAAUAUAAAAGGAUAAGGGAAGAGAGAUUCAAACACGAUAAUUUUUACGUGGUUCGGCCAACCUCGCCUACAUCCACGCCUCCAAGCUUUCCGGACUUGAGGAUUCCACUAAGUAAGCCUCCAACGCUUCAAAUGCUUACAAUUGACUUCCAAGAUGUCAAUAAACCUUUACAACAAGAGAUUAUCCUCAAUCUCUUAACCCAAGUGUAUCCCAACACUUACAAUCACUCAAAACAAAAUAUUACAAAUUGUUUUUCUCUCACACAAUAUUUAAAAUUACAAAUCAAUGCCCAAUGUGUGAAUAAAUGAAGAAUGAAUGUGUUUAAAGCUCUUUGAAGAUUGUAUUCUCGAAUAUAAGCUCAAUGAUAAUGUUGUGAUCUGCUCUUGUUUGAAUUUGAAUGAGCUUAUUUAUAGUUGGAGCUGAAAAAUAGCCGUUACAGACUAUCUGCUAAAAAACGGAUCGCCGUUAGCUGUUAACGGUUAACCGUUUGGAUUGGUCGAAGUUACCGUUGGGACAAAAUUCAAAUAAACGGUUUGCUGUUUAGGCUUACCAUUUCACCAUUAAAUUCCAGAAACCUGCAAAAUAAACUUCAGCUAUCCGUUUUUACUAAAUAGUUAAAAAUUAACACGAAAUGAUAUUCUGGAAUUUAUCGGUUAGCCGUUUGUAAUUAACGGUUUGCUGUUUAUUUCCAAUAACCUGCAAAACACAUUAGCCUUAUCCGUUUCUGUUAAACGAUGCCAGAUGAGUACAAUCUUCCAUUUUGGACUUUAUCUAUUAACCGUUUUCGAUAAACGGUUCGCCGGUUAAUUCCAGUAGCCUUCCCAACAUUUUGUGUUUUCUGUUUUUCUUAACCAGUUAGAGGUUAAUCAAUUUGUUACUAUCUGGAUUUAAUUGGUUAACCGUUUCAAAGUAAACGGUGAACCGUUUACUUCCAAAAUCACAGUUUUAACCAAAAAUUGUAGGAAGUCAUUUUCCAAUUGAAGUUUGACAGAUAUCCAUCUUUCAUGAACAUAAUUAGAAAGAUUAUAAGGCUUUCUUUUAUUAAUGAAUAGCUCCGACAUUUUAAUCAAAAGCAUUUAAAGUUUGUUAUCAUCAAAAUCAAUAUUGUAAACAUAUACAUGUUAACAAGAACCGCUUCAAGGUAAAACACUCCUUUAUAACCACACGAUUAAAGUUAUAAUAAAUUUUUUACUAUUUUAUCACUUUGCGCGUAUGACUAAGAUUCGUGCUCCACUUUAGAGCAGCUCCAAGAUAGUCAUAACCUUAUUUUAAUUAGGUAAAGUAAUCAAUAAUAAUAGGAAUUAUCGUAUAACUACCCUCAUUUUAAGUAAAUAUCAAAUUUAUUAAUUCAAACUUGAAAACUAUCAAAUACACCCUCAACUUUACAAGAAAA
rnacentral:lncRNA from 1 species